CUGUGCUCAAGUUCUUCAGGAGCACCUCACUGUCUCCCUCUGCCCACCCACCUGCACCUGACAGCUGUGGGCUGUGCUCUCAGGGAGGCACCGUCAGAUGCUACCAGACUACAGAGGAGAGCACCCUCAAUCCUGACUGAAGGUUUGGGAAAAGGCUGCUCAGAAGAGGUGAUACUUGAUAUGGGCCCUGGAGGAGGAGAAGCAGUUUGAGAAGACAGCAGUGAGAGAUGGCAUCCGGGCAGGCGAGAAAUGUCAGUGGUCAUGGAGGCAGCAUGAAGGGACUGUUGGCUGCAGAAACCUGGCAAGGCUCUUAGAGACAGAGACGAAGAGGGAGAUGGGGCUGGAGAUGGAGAUGAUAGAGACAGAAAGAUUGAAGAUGGCAGAGUGGGGGCUAUGGGGAAGGGUGAUGAAGCAGGAAAGAUAGAUCGAACGAGACUGCGAGGAGCCUGUGUGCCUGGGCUUUAUUUUGGAGGCAAUGAGAAACAGAAAGUGUUUUUGAGCAUGAUGGGACAAUGAGGAGUUCUGUGGUUUAGGAAACCCAGCAGUCACGGGAAGUGCAGAUUCAAAGUAAGAAAACGUCCCAGGGUUUGGUGAUGAUCUUGGUGGGAAGUGACACAGGGGUAGUGGGGAUGGAAUUGAAAGAAAGGAUGAACUUCCAGAGUAUGGCUGUGCUCAGUAGACAGGAAUCAGGGAGGGCAGGAGGAGAGUAAAAGGGUCCUCUGAGCUUAAAUCCAGAUGUUGAGGAGAUGGUGGUACUAUCAAUGGAGGUGGAGCUCUUAAGAGGAAGAAAGAUGGGAAAGAAAAGGAUGAGGUUUUUGACAAGUUGAAUAUGGGGUGAGCAUGGGUCCAACUGAAAGCAGUGGAAAUAUAGACGUGAAAAAUAGAUGCGGUAGAGUUGAAAAGUUGGGGAUAAUUUUCACCUGAAUGUUACCUAAGGCAAAGGGAAGAGAGGUCAUCCAGGACAAAAGUACAGAAUGAAAAGAAAAAGCAACUAAGCACGAAAUCUUGGAGAAUGUCCUCAUUGAAGGGUCCUGAGCACCAAGGGUACAGUCAGAAAUGAUGAAUCCAGAAAUGAUGCCCUCCAGAACUUCUGGUGAGGAAGGCACUCAGGAAAAUGCAGCACCCUAUGGAGGCCCAGAAAGGAGGGCAUUCAGGAAGAACACAGUCUGAUGGUGUCAAGUGCAGCGGAGGCUAAGAGAUACUGUUAUAUGUGCUCAUGUAAAUUGUCUGGCAAUUAGCUGCAAGAGGAUUGUAGGAAGAGAUUCUACCUAUCCAUCUCUUUACACCAUGCCUUCUGAA
rnacentral:lncRNA from 1 species